rnacentral:lncRNA from 10 species
AACAGUCCAAGUGCCGAGCUCAAGAGGCUUCCUUUUUAGUGCAGGGGCUGAGGCUAACUAGGGAAAACAUACAGAAUACGAAAGCUGGGAUACAGGUCUACACCGAGCUCUGGCUGUCUUGACGAAUUCAGAGGAGUGGGAGAGUGAGAAGCCAGAUUAUCCCAGGAAGACUUGACAGAGGAGGUGGGGACAUGAAUGGGGCUGACAAGGGGAGUUUGGCCAGAGAGUGAGGAGGAGGAAGGUAAGGAAGACAAUGGAAGAGUACCGUUAAAAUGUCCAUACUACCCAAAGUCAUCUAUAGAUUCGGUACAAUUCCUACCAAAAUUCCAAUGACAUUUUUUACAGAAAUAGAAAAAAAAAAAACAGUUGUAAAAUGUGCAUGGAACCACAAAGGACUCUGAAUAGCCAAGGCAGUUUGAGUGUAAAAAAAACAAAAGACAAAACAAAACAACAACAACACAACAAAAACAGGGCUGGGCAUGGUGGCUCACGCCUGUAAUCCCAGCACUUUGGGAGGCCAAGGCGGGUGGAUCACCUGAGGUCAAGAGUUCGAGACCAGCCUGGCCAACAUGGUGAAAUUCCCGUCUCUACUAAAAAUACAAAAAUUAGCUGAGUGUGGUGGCACACGCCUGUAAUCCCAGCUACUUGUGAGGCUGAGGCAGGAGAAUCGCUUGAACCUGGGAGGUGGAGUUGCAGUGAGCCAAGAUCAUGCCAUUGUAUUCCAGCCUGAGUAACAGAGCAAGACUCCGUCUCAAAAAAAAAAAAUAAUAAUAAGGUAUUGCAUUUAUUGAAAUAGCUAGAAGAGAGAAUUUGGGAUGUUCCUACCACAAAGACAUGAUACAUUUGAUGUGAUGGAUAUGCUAAUUACCCUGAUUUAAUCAUUGCACAAUGUAUAUAUGUACUGAAGUACCACUUUGUGCUCCAUAAGUAUGUACAAUUAUGUGUCAAUUAAAAAAAAAAAAAGGCAGCUGGGCACGGUGGAUCACGCCUGUAAUCCCAGCACUUUGGGAGGCCAAGGCAGGUGGAUCACUUGUCAGGAGUUUGAGACCAGCUUGGCCAACAUGGUGAAACCCUAUCUCUACGAAAAAUACAAAAAUUAACCAGGCAUGGUGGCAUGCACCUGUAAUCCCAGCUACUUGGGAGGCUGAGGCACGAGAUUCGCUUGAACCCAGGAGGUAGAGGUCAGUGAGCUGAGAUUGCACCACUGCCUUCAAGCCUGGGCAACAGAGCAAGACUCUGUCUCAAAAAAAAAAAAAAAAAAAAAAAAAAGGCAACAGAAUGAAAGCAGAGAAGCAAGAAAGAGCCUGAAAUCUUGGAGGUGGCAGGGCAAGGGGAUGUGUGCCAGUGGACAGUGGGAAGUCAUCUAGGAGGUGGGUUCCAACAGCCACUCACUCCUGAAAGUGCCUGUUCAUAAGGCCCUGCAUAGUCUUGGGCUAAUCUUCCACCUCAGACACACAGCAUCUUGCAACAGGGAAAAAAAAUCUGGCAUCAGAAAGAACAAAGCUAUUUUCUUAGGAACUAUGGGUCUGAGGUUGGAGUGAAAAAUGAAGUUCCAUGAAAGCUCUUGGUUUGAGAAUUAAGUCAAACCAACUCUUCCCCAAAUAUUAUGUUCGUUCCACAGCUCUCACAUAAAAUCAUCUUAAUUGCAUUUUUUUAACCUGCUGACCUUGCUAUGUGAAUAAUUAAGAACUAAUUAUUAGGACUCAGCCCUGUGCUAAGAGGUUUUCCAAUAAUUAAGGAGUUAACACUGUGCUAAGAGUUUUGUACACAUUUAAUUUUCCUCCUAACACUGAGGUAUGUCCUGUGACCAUCUGCAUUGGAAGGAUGAGGACGGAGAAACAGCGUGGUUAAGCAAUGUGUCUGAGGUCAGAGUUCACAGGUGGCAGAGCCAGCGGUCGCCCCAGGAAGCUGGCUCCACAGCCCAUGCUACUGCCUAAACCCUGACUAUGUGGCCUCUGUGUGGAGAGCCCUUGGCAAUCAAAAGGUUGGAUCGUCGAGAUCCCCAUGGAGACCGUACUAGCUACUAGCUUUCCAGGC